GAUGAACGCUAGCGGGAGGCUUAACACAUGCAAGUCGAGGGGUAAAUGGUAGCAAUACUAUGAGACCGGCGGACGGGUGCGUAACGCGUAUGCAACAUACCUUGUGCAGGGGGAUAGCCCGUGGAAACGCGGAUUAAUAUUCCAUAGUCCAGCUAUAUCGCAUGGUAUAGUUGGUAAAGAUUUAUCGGCACAAGUUUGGCAUGCGUCUGAUUAGCUUGUUGGUAGGGUAACGGCCUACCAAGGCUACGAUCAGUAGGGGUUCUGAGAGGAUUAACCCCCACACUGGUACUGAGACACGGACCAGACUCCUACGGGAGGCAGCAGUGAGGAAUAUUGGUCAAUGGGCGGAAGCCUGAACCAGCCAUCCCGCGUGAAGGAAGACAGCCUUACGGGUUGUAAACUUCUUUUCUGUCAGAAGAAUAAGCUUGUCGAGACGAGUGAUGCCGGUAUGACAGGAUAAGCAUCGGCUAACUCCGUGCCAGCAGCCGAC
rnacentral:rRNA from 1 species